CUGGGCCGCACCCUCCCACCCGUUAUGGAGCCGUUUGCUGCUGUCCCUGAUAACGCAGCCCCCGGCUGAGCUGGGGCCGGGGUGCUGCCAGUCUGAGCGUGACGUCCUGCAGAGCAGACAGAGACAGCGCUAGCGUCACGAUGAGCUGCUCCCCGCUGACCCUCCUCAUCGUCCUCAGCCUCUUCGGGGGCUGUGCCGGCAAGCUAGCGGUGGAGACGGACGCCUCCCCGGUGCGAGCCAAGGUGGGGGACGAUGUGGUGCUGAAGUGCCAGUUUGCCGUGGCGCAGCCGCCCGUGGACCUGAGCCAGCUGGUGGUGCAGUGGUUCCACCGGGGCGGGCAGCUGGUGGAGUUCGACGAUGUGGUGAGUGAGAGCCGGCCGGGCGCCAGCCUGAACGUGGAGGGGCUGCGGAGCGGCAACGCCGCGCUCUACCUCAGCAAGGUCACCCCAGAGAGCGCCGGCAACUACCGCUGCUACAUCACCUACGCGCCCGACGUGCGCAUCAAACAGGUCGUCCUUCACGUCGAGGACCCCUUGAAACCGCCCAUGGAGGAGCCGGAGGCCGUGGCCCCUCAAGCCUGCGCCCCCGACCCCCUGUUGCUGAAGAAGCUGGACCAGGUGCUGAGCAUCCUGCAGCAGAUCAGCCACAAGCUGGAGGCGGCAGACGCUGGGGCUGGGAGGAAGGCCUGAGCCCGACCCCGGCUCCAGGGGGCAUCCAGGCUGCGUGGGGGGAGGGGGGGACUGAUCUUGGCUCUGCGGGGGCAUCUAUGGGGCCAGCUGGGGGGUAUGGAGAGAGCAGCGGCAGGUGUAUCAUGGAGGGAACAAGCCAGGGAGCUG
rnacentral:lncRNA from 1 species